CAGGAAUAGCCCAAUAAUCUGAGAAGAUUUUAAAGUUUGAAUGGAGUUUCUAGGUGAAAGUAUGACAAAGUAGUUAAGUUUCAAAAACAAGCAAGUUUUAGCAGAAUUGUGGAAGUUUUCCAUUCAUUUCAAUGGGACAAAUUAAAGGAAAAAAGUGUAAUAUUUUAAAAAGUAUAACAGUAAUAAACACCAAAAGUCAUUGCCGGAAAGAGCAGAAAGAGCAGAACAGUAUAGAGUUUGAACUGAGAAAAUCGGCUGAAAACUGAGGAAGUAGUUAAGUGCCAAAAAGUGUACGGAAGCAACUAGAAGAAUAAUAAUAAAGAAUAAAGAGAAACAGGAACUCAAUAGUGUGGAAGCCCUUUAAGGGCAUCCACACAACUAGAAAAAUUUGCAUUUCCUGCGAAAAUGCUGUGUGGAUGCCUUAACGCUGAAGCUGUCUGCUGAAAAGCUGAAAAAGCUGAAAAGUUGCAAAAAGUUGUAUGGUGGUGAAAAGAAAAAAAAAAGCAGCAGAAGCUGCUGAGAAUUGUGCUGAGAAGAGUUGAAAAGGCGGAAAAUUUUGCAGAAAAGAGGUAAAUCAGCAGAAUUUCUGCAGAAAAGAGGCAGAACAAAAGAGAAAACUAAAAACAGGUUUUGCCCUGAGCAGGAUUCGAACCUGGCCCUACCAGACUCAAAGCAGCUACUCAUCUCACUGACCCAAACACAUUCUCACAGAGAAGAGGUGGACAGACUGACAAUGCUGCUGAAAUGAGCAGAAGCUGCUGAGAAUUGUGCUGAUAAGAGGUGAAAAGGCUGAAAAUUUUGCAGAAAAGAGGUGAAUCAGAAGAAUUUCUGCAGAAAAGAGGCAAAGGAGCAGAAACGUGCGCUGAAAAGAGAUGAAUCAGCAGAGUUUCUGCUGAAAAGAGUUUUUUUUUCUGAAAACAGCCCCAAAAAACGGAAUUUGUGCUGAAAAGGGGUGAAAAAAAUGAAAAUUUUGCUGAAAAGGGGUGAAGAAGGUAAAGUAUACCAAAUCAAAGUAUUUGUGCCAAAACAUAGUGUUUCUGCCAUAUUGUGGUAUUUGUGCCCCAAAAGUUACUACAUUACAUCUUUGCAGCGUUCACUAAGGCACUACCCAAAAGGCGCCACAAGAGGGCACUCCAACACAGUGUCAGCAGUGUCUGAAGAUAUAUUGGCACAAGCCUCAUGUCCUAACUUUGCUUUGUUAAAGAGAUAUGGCAAUUUGAAAAUGCCUCCCGUUACAGAAUUUCAGCUCUGAAUUUCAAAACCUCCCCAUAGACUUUGAAUGGGGACUUGUCAGACCUUGUGUCACUCCGAGGCAAAUUGCGAAAAAACGGUAAACCUCACAAUAAAGAUAGUGACAUUGUCUGAAAGCCAGCAAAAAUACCUACGUUUUGAUGUAUAAUUUGUGGGGAUUGAGUGGAAAUUGAGUGAGUAGCAAGAAGUUGUUUAGACAUGAAGAGAAAAUUCAGAACGGACCAGCACUCACUCUGACUUAAUUGCAUAGCAACCAUAGCAACGCAUGUAUUUUCUGAAAAAUCACAAUUUUGCAACUGAAAACUUAAAGAGAGAUAAGAUUAAAACGGUAGAAGAUCUGAAAAAGCUGAAUCAGACAGGAAUAGCCCAAUAAUCUGAGAACAUUUUAAAGUUUGAAUGGAGUUUCUAGGUGAAAGUAUGACAAAGUAGUUAAGUUUCAAAGACAAGCAAGUUUUAGCAGAAUUGUGGAAGUUUUCCAUUCAUUUCAAUGGGACAAAUUAAAGGAAAAAAGUGUAAUAUUUUAAAAAGUAUAACAGUAAUAAACACCAAAAGUCAUUGCCGGAAAGAGCAGAAAGAGCAGAACAGUAUAGAGUUUGAACUGAGAAAAUCGGCAGAAAACUGUGGAAGUAGUUAAGUGCCAAAAAGUGUACGGAAGCAACUAGAAGAAUAAUAAUAAAGAAUAAAGAGAAACAGGAAAAACAAUUGUGUGGAAGCCCUUUAGGGCAUCCACACAACUAGAAAAAUCUGCAUUUCCUGCGAAAAUGCUGUGUGGAUGCCUUAACGCUGAAGCUGUCUGCUGAAAAUGACUGAAAAAGAUGAAAAGCUGCUAAAAAUUGUAUGGCAGUAAAGAAACUGAAAAAUUCUGCUGAAAAGAGCUGAAGAAGCAGAAUUUUUUGCUGAAAAGCGGUGAAAAGGCAAAGAUUCUGCUUAAAAGGGGUAAAGAAAUUUCUACUGAAAAGAGGGGAAAAAGUUUCUUCUGAAAUGACCAGAAGAUACUGAGACUUGUACUGAUAAGAGGUGAAAGGCUGAAAAUUCUGCUUAAAAUAGGUGAAUCAGCAGAAUUUCUACUGAAAACAGGUAAAGAAGCAGAAAGUUGCACUGAAAACAGGUGAAACAGCAGAAUUUCUGCUAAAAAACAGAUUUCUGCUGAAAACACCUGAAAAAGCCGGGAUUUGUGUUGAAAAGGGGUGACGAAACUCACAAUUCUGCUGAAACUGGGUGAAGAAGAGGUGUUGUGGUCUUGAGAAGAGUUAAAUAAGUUGAACUGAUAUGUUUGGGUACAAAUACUAUGAUUUGGCAAUAAUACUGCGUUUUAGCACAACUACUGAGAUUUGAUUAAAAUAUUAUGACUUUGUACAAAUACAAUGUUUUGGCACAAAUACUAUGAUUUAGUUCGAAUGCUAUGAUUUGAAACAAAUACUAUGAUUUGGCAGAAAUACUAUGAUUUAUUAGAAAUACUAUAAUUUACCAGAAAUACUAUGUUUCUGCAGAAACACUCUGAUUUUGAAAAUUACUAUGCCUUAGUAGUAAUACUAUAACAUAACAGAUAUACUGUGAUUAUGCAGAUAUUCUGUUUUUACACAAAUACUAUAAUAUGGCAGAAAUACUAUGUUUUAGUACAAAUACUAUGAUUUGCUUUAAAUACUAUGAUUUGGCACAUAUACUAUAUUCAGCAGAUAUACUAUAACAUAACAGAAAGUCUACGACUUAGUAGUAAUGCUAUAACAUAACAGAUAUAGUAUGAUUUUGCAGACAGUCUAUGUUUUUGCACAAAUACCACAAUAUGGCAGAAAUACUAUGAUUCGGCACAAGUACUAUGAUUUAGUACAAAUACUAUGAUUGGGCAGAAAUAGUAUGAUUUAGCAGAAAUACUAUGAUUGGGUACAAAUACUACAAAUUGGCAGAAAUACUGUGACUUAGUAGCAAUACUAUAACAUAACAGAUAUACUGUGAUUAUGCAGACAUUCUGUUUUUACAGAAAUACUAUAAUAUGGCAGAAAUACUAUGUUUUAGUACAAAUACUAUGAUUUGCUUUAAAUACUACGAUUUGGCACAUAUACUAUAUUCAACACAUAUACUUUAACAUAUGAUUUAGAAGAAAUACUAUGACUCCAUACAAAUACGAUGCUUUGGCACAAAUACUAUGAUUUGCUAUAAAUACUAUGAUUUGGCACAUAUACUAUGAUUUGCUAUAAAUACUAUGAUUUGGCACAUAUACUAUAUUCAGCAGAUAUACUAUAACAUAACAGAAAGUCUACGACUUAGAAGUAAUACUAUAACAUAACAGAUAUACUGUGAUUAUGCAGACAUUCUGUUUUUACACAAAUACUAUAAUAUGGCAGAAAUACUAUGAUUCGGCACAAGUACUAUGAUUUAGUACAAAUACUAUGAUUGGGCAGAAAUACUAUGUUUCAGUACAAAUACUACGAAAUACUACAAAUACCUGAAAACAGGUGAAGAAGCACAAAUUUUUGCUGAAAAGUGGUGAAAAGAAAUUUUGCCAUGAGCAGGAUUUGAACCUGGCCUUCCUGGUCUCAAGGCAGCUACUCAUCUCACUGAGCCAAACUCAUUCUCUCAAAGAAGAGGUGGAUAGACUGACAAUUCUGCUGAAAUCAGCAGAAGCUGCUGAGAAUUGUGCAGAAAAGAGGUGAAUCAGGAGAAUUUCUGCAGAAAAGAGGCAAAGAAGCAGAACGUUGCGCUGAAAAGAGGUGAAUCAGCAGAGUUUCUGCUGAAAAGAGUUUUUUUCCUGAAAACAGCCCAAAAAAGCUGGAAUUUGUGCUGAAAAGGGGUGAAAAAAAUGAAAAUUUUGCUGAAAAGGGGUGAAGAAGCUAAAGUAUACCAAAUCAAAGUAUUUGUGCCAAAACAUAGUAUUUCUGCCAUAUUGUGGUAUUUGUGCCACAAAAGUUACUACAUUACAACAUGAAUACGGAUUAAAGAUGAAAGAAACUGGCAACAAAUUCCUCCACUACAAACCAGUCUGAUACCACUUCUUUGCAGUGUUCACGUUUACUAAGGCACUACCCAAAAGGCGCCACAAGAGGGCACUCCAACACAAGAGAUGACCUAUGUACACUGAUGCACUUAGUAACAGUCAGCCUCCUACUUAGCCACUACGUAAUACAGCGAUAUUACAGUGUACAAAUUCACAUAAAUUUGCAGGGGGAACAAACAAAGCAGGAACAAGCCUAAAACAAUCAAAUAACUGUGCUGCCAUAGCUAUUGCUAACUAGCACAUACGCUAAAGGUAACUAAAACCAAUACACACAAGUAGCAGGGUAAACAUCUUAAGCAUGGAACAUUAACUCACGUUUAUGUGACACACACCAUCCCCAACAAAUACAGGAUGGGCUAUUUGCUCCCCUUCCCAGCAGCUCUCUCCUCAAUCGUUAGCCCAGGAACGAAGGAAGACCAUCUAGCUCAGAAGUCCCAUGAAUUCCCUCACUGCUCAGAGGCUGCUGGGUAAUGUAGCUCACAAUAACACAGGUUUUUCUACAAGCACAAAUACUAUAACAUAGCAGAAGUACUGUGAUUUUGUUGAAAUACUAUGCUUUAGGACAAAUAGUAUGAUUUGGCAGAAAUACUAUGUUUUAGGACAUAUACUAUGAUUUGGCUCAAAUACUAUGAUAUAGCAGCAAUACUAUGUUUUGGCACAAAUACUAUAAUUGAGUGCAAGUACUUUAAGAUAACAGAAAUACUAUGAUUUAGCAGAAAUACAAUGUUUUUGCAGAAACACUGUAAUUUCACUCAAAUACUUUGAAAUAGCCGUAAUACUAUGAUUUGGCAGAACAUAACAGAAAUUCUACGACUUAGUAGUAAUACUAUAACAUAACAGAAAUAUUAACUGGGCACAAAUACUAUAAUUUGGCACAAGUACCAUGUUUUGGAAAAAUCCCAUAAUUUGGCACAAAUACUAUGAUUUGGCAGACACUAUGAUUUAGCAGAGAUAAUAUGAUUUGGCAGAAAUACUAAACUUUGGCACAAAUACUAUAAUUGAGUACUUUAAGAUGAGAGAAAUACUAUGAUUUAGCAGAAAUACUAUGUUUCAGUACAAAUACUAUGACAAAGCAGAAAUACUACGACUUAGAAGUAAUACUAUAACAAAAGGGAUUCCUCAAAAUACUAUGAAAUUGCAGUAAUUCUAUGAUUUGGCAGAAAUACUGUACUUUGUACAAAUACAAUGCUUUGGUACAAAUACUAUAUUUUGAUUUGAAUACUAUGAUUUGGCACGAGUAGUAUGAUUUAGUACAAAUACUACGAAUUGGCAGAAAUACUGUGACUUAGUAGUAAUACUAUAACAUAACAGAUAUACUGUGAUGUUGAAGACAUAGUAUGUUUUUGCACAUAUGCUACGAUUUCGCUCAAAUACUGUGAAAUUGCAGUAAUACUAUGGUUUUGAAGGAAUACUAUGAUUUGGUAGAAAUACUAUGCCUUAGUAGUAAUACUAUAACAUAACAGAUAUACUAUGAUUUUGCAGACAGUCUAUGUUUUUGCACAACUAGCACAAUGUGGCAGAAAUACUAUGAUUUGGCACAAGUACUAUGAUUUAGUAGAAAUACUCUUAUUGGCACAAACACUAUGUUUCAGUACAAAUACUAUGAUUUGGUAAUAAUACUGCGUUUUAGCACAACUACUGAGAUUUGAUUGAAAUACUAUGAUUUAGAAGAAAUACUAUGACUUCGUACAAAUACUACUAUGUUUUGGUUCGAAUACUAUGAUUUGCAAAAAAUACUAUGAUU
rnacentral:lncRNA from 1 species